rnacentral:lncRNA from 1 species
CAACUUUGAAAAGCUACACACGGAUGAAAUUAUGAGUAUGCUGAGGAAACUCUGAGUUAUACCUGAGUGUGAUUUGCUGUCUUUCUCAACCCCCAUGGAUGUGCUCUCAGCUGCCUCAAUAUAGGUGAGUCAGGUUUGCUCCCUACACCUUAAUGGGGAAAGAUGGCAGAAAAAAAUGGGCUGGGUGCCUUCAAACACAUGGGCAUAAUGCCUUCAAAAUCUUGGAGGAAGCAGAGACAUUGGAGGUUGGAAGAAGUAGAGGAGAAGCUAACGUUGCUUAAACCACACAUCCCUAUUACAUCAAAUUCCCCAAUUUUCAAUCCUGGCCGUGGUGGAACUAUGAAACCCUAAAAGAGUUGUGAGUCACCAUUAUACCUCUUCAGUAUUAGAUAUAUUUUACUUUCUAACAGUGUCAUCAUCUGAAACUCAGGAUAAAAGCUAAGUCAUUGCAUUGAGGAAAAGACCAAUAAAGGGGAACUUCUGGACCAAUAGUAAUUACAUCAAGGCACAAUUUACUUAGUGGUGUGAUUUUGAGAGACCCCCAAAAAGUCUUCCUACACCUCUUAUCAAGCCCUAAAAUUUUAGAUUGUUAUCUAGUAAUAACAUAUUAAUAUUCAAUACCUGG